CCUACGGGAGGCAGCAGUGGGGAAUAUUGGACAAUGGGGGGAACCCUGAUCCAGCGACGCCGCGUGAGUGAAGAAGUAUUUCGGUAUGUAAAGCUCUAUCAGCAGGGAAGAAAAUGACGGUACCUGACUAAGAAGCACCGGCCAACUACGUGCCAGCAGCCGCGGUAAUAAGUAGGGGGCAAGCGUUAGUCGGAUUUACUGGGUGGAAAGGGAGCGUAGACGGGUCAGAAAGUCUGAUGUGAAAGGGCGGGGCCCAACCCAGAGACUGCAUUGGAAACUGUUGAACUGGAGUGCAGGAGAGGUAAGCGGAAUUCCAAGUGUAGCGGUGAAAUGCGUAGAUAUAAGGAGGAACACCAGUGGCGAAGGCGGCUCACUGGACUGUAACUGACGUUGAGGCUCGAAAGCGUGGGGAGCAAACAGGAUUAGAUACCCGAGUAGUC
rnacentral:rRNA from 1 species